rnacentral:rRNA from 1 species
GACGAACGCUGGCGGCGUGCUUAACACAUGCAAGUCGAACGGAAAGGCCCUGCUUUUGUGGGGUGCUCGAGUGGCGAACGGGUGAGUAACACGUGAGUAACCUGCCCUUGACUUUGGGAUAACUUCAGGAAACUGGGGCUAAUACCGGAUAGGGGCUCCUGCUGCAUGGUGGGGGUUGGAAAGUCUCGGCGGUUGGGGAUGGACUCGCGGCUUAUCAGCUUGUUGGUGGGGUAGUGGCUUACCAAGGCUUUGACGGGUAGCCGGCCUGAGAGGGUGACCGGCCACAUUGGGACUGAGAUACGGCCCAGACUCCUACGGGAGGCAGCAGUGGGGAAUAUUGCACAAUGGGCGGAAGCCUGAUGCAGCAGCGCCGCGUGCGGGAUGACGGCCUUCGGGUUGUAAACCGCUUUCGCCUGUGACGAAGCGUGAGUGACGGUAAUGGGUAAAGAAGCACCGGCUAACUACGUG